AUGGUACCAUAUGCUUCAGUUAUUGGAAGCUCAUAUAUUACCCUGACACAGUUCACGUAUCCGGAUUGUUUUGGCAAUGUCCAGUCCAUGUAUAGAUCACUGGAAUGGAGUCAAAGAUAUCAGCCUCAUGCUGAAAGAAAUAAGUGCUCUCAAAAGAUUGUGAGUACAGAGACAGGACUUGUGAAAUGUAUAGUGAAAUCCACAAUUGUCGCUAACUUUCAUACUUGGAGAUUUUUGUGUGGAAAAGCUCCAAAGAAUGAAACAAUUAUCAUCAAUGUGAUGCAAAGAUAUUUUAUAGCUUGA
rnacentral:rRNA from 1 species